GUAUGGUUCAGUGGUAGAGUGUGUGCUUAGUGUGCAUAAAGCCCUGGGCUCAAUUCCCAGCAC
rnacentral:tRNA from 1 species